UUACUUGUAGCUAUUAGCGAAACGUCAAUGCGUCACCCCAGUUGAAGGGACGGGACCACGGUCAUUCGUUUCGGACCGUGAAACAAAUCAAUCCAAGAUCUCAUGUAGUCUAUUUUUCUUUUGAACACAAGAUCUCAUCUAGUCAUCAUUCGUUAAUUAGCUCGUGCGAUCGUCCUUGGUCACUCGACGGUUCAUCCUCUCGUCGAUCAUCGACGUGUCGCUCGGUACCUGGGCCGCCGCUGGUUGUUGCCACUCAUACGCCGCGCGGAAGUCCGGCAAGCCGGCCCUCCUGCGAGGUCUGUAUCCGAUAUGUAUGUGAGCCGUGAGCGCACCAGAUCUCAGUAGUUUCUUUCAUUCUUUAGUACCUAUUCUGAUAUUCAACUAUUUAAUUAUUCAUUCAUGAUCCAUUCUCUAAUUUCAGUGUACAAGAAGUCUCGAUGUUUUAAUUUAUAAUUUUCUAAUUCAUUUUUUCAAUGUGUGUAUUCAACCAUUCUAUUUGUUUGUCAUUCUGUGUACAUGUAUAGGAUUCCACUCAUCUGGUAUAUAUAUUUCUAAUUAUUUGUACCCUCUUUUCUUCAUAAUUUUAAGAAAUUAGCCUGCCAUGUUGCCUAAGAAACAUUUGUGGGGUGCCCAAAAGAGGAGAAAGAAAGAAAGUGGUCUGAAAAUUAAAGCACUAAGGGGUUCUUUGAAUAAGUACUUUACAUCUUCAAGCAAUGUUGUUAUCAUUGAAGAACG
rnacentral:lncRNA from 1 species